GAUGAACGCUGGCGGCGUGCCUAAUACAUGCCAGUCGAGCGAACGGACGAGAAGCUUGCUUCUCUGAUGUUAGCGGCGGACGGGUGAGUAACACGUGGAUAACCUACCUAUAAGACUGGGAUAACUUCGGGAAACCGGAGCUAAUACCGGAUAAUAUUUUGAACCGCAUGGUUCAAAAGUGAAAGACGGUCUUGCUGUCACUUAUAGAUGGAUCCGCGCUGCAUUAGCUAGUUGGUAAGGUAACGGCUUACCAAGGCAACGAUGCAUAGCCGACCUGAGAGGGUGAUCGGCCACACUGGAACUGAGACACGGUCCAGACUCCUACGGGAGGCAGCAGUAGGGAAUCUUCCGCAAUGGGCGAAAGCCUGACGGAGCAACGCCGCGUGAGUGAUGAAGGUCUUCGGAUCGUAAAACUCUGUUACUAGGGAAGAACAUAUGUGUAAGUAACUGUGCACAUCUUGACGGUACCUAAUCAGAAAGCCACGGCUAACUACGUG
rnacentral:rRNA from 1 species